GACGAACGCUGGCGGCGUGCUUAACACAUGCAAGUCGAACGGAAGGGCCCUACUUUUGUGUGGUGCUUGAGUGGCGAACGGGUGAGUAACACGCGAGUAACCUGCCCUUGACUUUGUGAUAACUUCAGGAAACUGGGGCUAAUAUCGGAUAUGAGCUUCUGCUGCACGGUGGUGGUAGGUAAGUGUCGGCGGUGGGGGAUGCACUCGCGGGUUAUCAGCUGGUUUGGGGGGUAGUGGCUUACCAAGGCUUCGACGGAAAGCCGGCCUGAGAGGGUGACCGGCCGCAUUGGGACUGAGAUACGGCCCAGACUCCUACGGGAGGCAGCAGUGGGGAAUAUUGCACAAUGGGCGGAAGCCUGAUGCAGCAACGCCGCGUGCGGGAUGACGGCCUUCGGGUUGUAAACCGCUUUCGCCUGUGACGAAGCGUGAGUGACGGUAAUGGGUAAAGAAGCACCGGCUAACUACGUG
rnacentral:rRNA from 1 species